rnacentral:rRNA from 1 species
ACUCCUACGGGAGGCAGCAGUAGGGAAUCUUCGGCAAUGGGCGAAAGCCUGACCGAGCAACGCCGCGUGAAUGAUGAAGGCCUUCGGGUUGUAAAAUUCUGUUAUAAGGGAAGAAUGGCUCUAGUAGGAAAUGGCUAGAGUGUGACGGUACCUUAUGAGAAAGCCACGGCUAACUACGUGCCAGCAGCCGCGGUAAUACA